UACCAUAAUAAUAAUUAAUUAUUUUAAUUAACGCGCUCAACAAUUAUUUACAGAACUAUCUCAGCUAUUAAUUUAUUCAGUCACAAGUAUACAACUAACACAUUUAACUAAUUUACUAAAAUUAAACCACAAUAAAAUUAAUAAUUAAUUUAUGAAAUUUAACUAUAAUAAACUAACAAUUAAUAAAAUUAAACAAUGAUCAAUAAAUAUUAAAUUAAAUUAAAUUCUGGGUCUGAAGAUAUUAUACUGAGACGAGUUUAAUUCGAACAGUUAGCACGUGAUGAAUCGAGAAGCCGAGAUAGACUUUCUGCUCUUUGACAUGCGUCCCAAUGUCCCUAGAAUCCGAUCGCCAGAAUUUCCAACGGUGUCGAAAAUUAAAUCCGAGGCUGUCCACGCGAAGCUUUCGAAGAGAGGAGUCCAGAAAUGGUGUUCUUAUCACUUGAAGCUCGCCGGAAACUGCCAGAUCGAGGCUAUAAAGCUAUGCUUCUGAUGGGGUUAGGACACGGCUACCGGUGUGAGGAAAAUGGAAGGGAAGUUUGAGCUUGGGGUUNNNNNNNNNNNNNNNNNNNNNNNNNNNNNNNNNNNNNNAUAAUAAUGGCAGGUGGCGGUGUGGACUGUGGUAGCGGUCUUUUCCUCUUUGGUUCAACGUUUUUAGGCGAGGAAUGGGAGGAAAUGGAUUGCCGGUGAGCUGAGGGGAUAAGGAGGAAGAUUUAGUCGGCAUUUGGCGGAGAGUGGUGGCACAAAUGGUGGUAAACGGUGGCGGCAGGGUAGGUGCUUAUGCUGGAGAAGAAGAAGAAGAAGAAGGAGCGGGGGAGGGACUUGGAGGAAAUUUGUUUUAAGGGCAAAGUUCCUUUAGGUACCAAGGUGAGGUUUAAGCUACAAUAAAGUCCAAUUCUUCCUAGUUUUAAUUUUACUUUUAUUUAUUUUAUUUUAUACACAUUUAGUCAUAUACCUAAAACUAUCCAACCUCAAUAUUAGACUUAUUAACAAUGAUAUAAUGAAAUCAAAAUAAAAUAAUAACUCAUAUAAAUUUAUGUCCAAGCACCUAUUUUUAAAUAAAAAUAUAUAAAAGGACUAAAUUAAAUAAAAUUGAAUUUACUCUUUAAAAUGAGAAGGCCAGUCAUAAAAUCACCAAAUCAAGAACACAUAAUUAUUCGUAAAAAUAAAAAAAGAAUAGUAUUUUAUAAUAAUUAAUAAAUAAUUUUUUUUAUUUAAUGCUCGAAUUUAAUACUAGAUCUUAUUAAUGCCAUUUUCCUUUCUUUCUUUUUUUUCAAACUUAAGAAUUAUCUAGUUUAUUUCAAUUAAUUGCAAUAAUUAUAGUUCUUUUAAAGUGGAUGGUAUUUUAUUAGUGCAAAAACCUUACUCAAUAAAUAAAAGAAGAAUAAAAUCUAGCUUUAGGAGAUAAAAUAAGGUGACAAUCCAUACCAUAUAUUAUUGAAUAAUAAUAAUAGUUAUAGAAACCCAAAUCUUUGAUAUUCUUGCGCUAGUAAUAUAAGGAACAGGUAGGCCACAUUUCAAUCAGUGGGUUCAGCUAUAAAUAUGAAUAGGUUAGGCCUACUCUACAGUCUAAUCAAUUGUUCUGUUUUUGGACCAUUCUGGAUAUUUUCUUCAAUUUGCUUUGCUUUUGUAAGGAAAUUAAUAGGAGACAAAACCUACAUUCUACACUACUCUACAAAAAUCUUCUAACAUAAAGUGGUAUGCAUGUCAAUUUACAGUAAUUGUGAGUUUGAGUUAAAUAUCCCAAUUACAGAAAAAAAAAAAAAAACAAUUAUAUAGUAAUAGGAAAUUAUAUCAAUAUAUUAUUGCUUGAUGUUUUCAACUCUGAAAAAUAAGAAUUUAAAAGAAUCAAGAUUGAAUCUCCCCACCUACCAUUCAAUAAUAUUAACAGAAAUCUGUUUUGCUGAUGAGAAAAAGAAAGAAAGAAGUGUCUGUCCAAUAAUCUAUAAAUCAUUCAGUAAAUUAAAAAAAAAUUAUAACAGUUUCAACCAAUGUUAUAGUUAUUGUAAUAAUAUUAUAGAAUAAAGAAAAAUAAAAAAGAGUUGAAAAAAUAAUAAUCUUUUUAUCUUUUUAUUAACCGUAAUUGAUGAGACUUAAUUUUUUUUUGAUAUGUGUGUUUAAUUUUUGACACAUAGAAUUUUUAUUUUAACAUGUGUAUUUAUUUUUGACACAUGUGAUUCAAACUUAUGUGUAAUUUUAUAAUUCUUUUCUAUCAAUUUAUUAACUAAUAAGUUAUGUUCCUAAUUAAAUAUUGAAUCUAAUUCUAAAAAAUAACAUAUUAAUUAUAUUUUAAUAUUGUAUUAACUAAUAAAUAGUUUCCUAAUCAGAUAAUGAUACUAGUUCUAUUUUAGAAAAUAGUAUAUUAAUUAUAUUUUAAUAUUAUAUUAACUAAAAAGUUAGUUUUCUAAUUAGAUAAUACUUCUAAUUCUAGAAAAUAAUAUCUUAACUUAUAUUUUUAAUAUUCUAUUCGAUUAUAAAUUAAUUUUUAAUUAUACAAUAGAUUUUUAUUUUUAAAAAAUAGUAAUAUCAAUUAUUAUAUGAUAGUAUUAAUUUAUAUAAUAUUAAAAAUAAUUAAUAAAUAUUUUUAAGAUAAUUCUUUAUUAUUGCAUUAAUAAAAUUUUAAAAAUUAAAAAAAUAUUUAAAAAUAGUUAGUUUGUUAUCAUUUUUUAGAAUAUUAUAAAUUAAUAUUAAAUAUUAAAAUUUUUAUUAAAUUAUAUCUAUCAAUUUAAUUUUAUAAUCGAAAUAAUAAUAACAGCUGUGCAACGCAAGAAUAAGGGACUAGUUUAUCUUUAAUUUUAGCUAAAUUUAAAAAGUUUUGGAUGAUUUGAUAAGAUCUCAAAUUUCAUAUAUGUAGUAGCUUUUUAAUAAAAAUGAUUUUACAAUAACUGGAUAUAGUUUUAAUAUAUUACAACCAAAAUUUCCUACUAUGCCAAUUUUGAAAGGAAAAAUACAUAUUUAAAAUAAAUAUGAAAUCACAACCAUCUUUUUUUUUCUUCUUUAAAGAAGCUUUUCUUUAAAAAUAUAACAAUGUGAUUCUUAGUAGUUUCGUGGCCUAAUUUUUAAUGAUCAAACCCAAUUCCAUGCAAAAAAAUGAAUAAUCAAGUCCAACACUCCAACAAUAUGGAUAUUGGAUAGAAUUUGAGUUCUUAGAUAUUCUAUGACAUACAAUAGGCUUAUUAGGCUUACAUUAUAAGAAUUUUUGAUGACUUUGGUUGCUCAAUAUUUGAUUCUUAAGGGCUCAUUUGUUUUGUAAAGAANNNNNNNNNNNNNNNNNNNNNNNNNNNNNNNNNNNNNNNNNNNNNNNNNNNNNNNNNNNNNNNNNNNNNNNNNNNNNNNNNNNNNNNNNNNNNNNNNNNNNNNNNNNNNNNNNNNNNNNNNNNNNNNNNNNNNNNNNNNNNNNNNNNNNUAAUUUUUUUUAUAGAUUUCGUCGAAACGUGAUUUUAGAAAUCUUAAAUUUUUGGGACAACAUAAAUUUGUUGUAUACUAAACGGACCUGUAUAAUCCGACAAAGGCCUAACCGUUUGUACCGAAUCUGAAGUUUGAUAAUUUAGAGAGAACUAAAUGAUAUUGGGCCUAUGGUCCAACCCAGCAAUAUUGCUUGUAAAGGCUCAGCCCAUGACUUCCCUUAUGGAUAAGUUCCAAUUUAGCUCCUUAAUUUAUCAAGAGCUACUACCAAUUUAACCUUCUUCUUACCAGACUAUAUAAACAAGUAAAUAAGAAAAUAUAACUUUCGAUAUUAAUAAUAUGAAAAUAUUUUAUUUUUAUAUUUUAUUUUUUAAAAUAUCUCAACUCUAAAUCUCCUUUAACUUUCUAUUUUCUCUCCUAAGUAAUUUUGAUCUUUUUUUUUUUUUUAGUCAUACUCCAUUUGGGUCAACCAUACUAACAGAAUAAAGAAGCUAAUCAAUAAUUUUUUAUGCAUAUACAUAUGAAGCUAUUAAAUAUAAUAAUUUUUUUCUCUUCCUACCAAAUAAUUCAUUUUCGUCGAAGACUUGACUCAUCAAAAUCACAACCGUCACGAUCACUGCAUCUCCAAUCACCCAAAGCUUAACCCUAAUUGCCACUAUGGUGAGCAAAAUCAAACUUUUUUUUUUUUAUUGGAUUUCAGUUUGGUUUGGUUUCUACCAAAAAGUCUUUUAUUAAAUUAAACUGGUCAAAGUUUUAAUUUUUGUUAUUAAUAUAUAUAUAUAUAUAUUAUGAAAUCUGACAUUUUAAUAGGGUAUUUUACAUUAUUUACUUAAUUUAUAGUAAAUAUAAAUUAUUCUUGUUGGUAUUUAUGUGUAUAUGUUCAUAACAGAUACUUUUAAUGAUAUAAAGAUAAUUAUAUUGCAACUUAAAUAAUUUAUGAUUUAAAGAAAAAACAAAAGAAUACACACACAUUGGAAAGAAAAAGGAGUAAUUAGCUUCAUUAGUUUAAACGACCAAUGUAGCUAAAAACUGUUCAACUAAGAUAACUAUUUUGAUUUACUAUUUUUCAUUUAAUUAUGCUUCUUCCUUUUUUUUUUUUUUUUUUGCAUACGACGGUCCAUUAAAUGGGUUUACAUGUGCAAAAAUUAGUAAGUUUAAUGCUUAAAAUAGCCCAAAAGUUUUUAAAAGAAUGGUAUUUAGCUUAAAGUUCAGAAGCUAAACUGUACCUUAUUCCCUUUCUUUAAUUUUAGUUGAACAGCCAUCUAAUUAUUUAUUAAUAUCCUAUACUUUCUAGGAAAAUUUAUACCAACAGUGUAUUAACUUUCAUUAUUUCUUUUUGUUAUUUUUGGUCUUUUAUUUUUUGUUUUUAAAUUUUUUCCAAUUUCGAACUUAAAAAAGAUGCAAAUAAGUGAUCCUAUAGAUGAUUUCCCCUGGUCGACCUGCUGAUUAAGCUUCAAUGCAUCCUAUUUAGUCUUAAAAUGAAUGCUAUAUAUUAUAAAAAUAACCUCUUGUCUAUAUUAAAAAGGUACGUUGACGGCACUGCAAAUUUUAUAAUUUUACUUUUAAGUAUUUAAUUAUUUUGAAUAUAUAAAAUAAGUACUAAGAAGAUACGUCGACGGCACUAAAAAUUUUAUAAUUUUAUUUAAACAUUUAAUUACUUUAAAUUAUUCAUUAUUUUUUUUCUGUAAGAAUUAUUUUAAGACUUUUAAUCUAUAUUUAUAUUAUAGCGAGAUUAGAAAUCUAGAAGAAUAUACAGCGUGAAAUUUUACUAUAAAUUAUUAUAAAAAUAUUUAAAUUUAUUUAUUUUUGUUUCGGAUAAUAACUUUUUUAUUUUUAAUUUACUUUUUUAAAUUAUAACGAGACUAAAAGAAUUUAUGAGAAAAUAUAACCUAGAUUUUUACAAGAGACUAUUACAAGAAUCAUCAAAAUUAUUUAUUUUCAUUUCAGAUAAUAAACCUUUUUAUUUGAUUUCUAUUAUUGAUUCCAUAUUGAAUAGGAGUGGGGAAGAACAUAGGGCCUUUUGGAUAGAGUCAAAAAGUGAACCCAUGCA
rnacentral:lncRNA from 1 species